rnacentral:lncRNA from 1 species
CCGGGACCUCCACCUUUCACGACUUAGCUAAACCUCCUGCCAUUAUUGCCUAAUUAAAAACUAAUUUCCAAAUAACCUAACCAUUCUCCAUUUAUUAGCUAAGGCCAUUAAUAUUGGUAUCAUCAUACCAAUCCUUACUUGCAAGUAUUAUCCAUAGCCAACCAUUUAUAGGUUUAAGGGGACUUUUAAGUGUCAUUCCAUUUACCAUAUUAAACCACUUGGGGGAUUCCAUGUGCCCCC